AUUGAACGCUGGCGGCAUGCCUUACACAUGCAAGUCGAACGGUAACAGGCCGCUUGCUGCUGGCGUCUGCCGCACGCGUGAGUAUUAUAUCUGAAAAUGUCCCUUCUUGUGGGAUAUAUACUCCGAAGAGUAGCUCAUAUAGCAUACGCUCUAUGAGUGAGAGCGGGGGGGCUUAUCGGACCUCGCGAUUUCAGCUGACCCUAGGUCGGAUUAGCUAGUUGGUGGGGUAAAGGCUCACCAAGGCCACGAUCUGUAUCUGGUCUGAGAGGAUGACCAGCCACACUGGAACUGAGACACGGUCCAGACUCCUACGGGAGGCAGCAGUGGGGAAUAUUGGACAAUGGGCGCAAGCCUGAUCCAGCAAUGCCGCGUGUAGGAAGAAGGUCUUCGGGUUGUAAAGUGCUUUUGGAUGGAAGGAAAGGGAGUUAGUUAAUACCCGGCGCUAAUGACGGUACCGUAAGAAUAAGCACCGGCUAACUACGUG
rnacentral:rRNA from 1 species